rnacentral:rRNA from 1 species
UCGGGAAUUUUGGGCAAUGGGGGAAACCCUGACCCAGCAACGCCGCGUGAAGGAUGAAGUAUUUCGGUAUGUAAACUUCGAAAGAAUAGGAAGAAUAAAUGACGGUACUAUUUAUAAGGUCCGGCUAACUACGUGCCAGCAGCCGCGGUAAUACGUAGGGUGCAAGCGUUAAUCGGAAUUACUGGGCGUAAAGCGUGCGCAGGCGGUUGUGUAAGUCAGAUGUGAAAUCCCCGGGCUCAACCUGGGAAUUGCAUUUGAGACUGCACGGCUAGAGUGUGUCAGAGGGGGGUAGAAUUCCACGUGUAGCAGUGAAAUGCGUAGAUAUGUGGAGGAAUACCGAUGGCGAAGGCAGCCCCCUGGGAUAACACUGACGCUCAUGCACGAAAGCGUGGGGAGCAAACAGGAUUAGAUACCCUUGUAGUCCCUGAGCGGGCUGGCAAGGCGCAU